GGCAAUAUGGCUCAGUGGUAGAGUGCUUGCCUAGCAUGCAUGAAGCCCUGGGUUCAAUUCCUCAGUACCA
rnacentral:tRNA from 1 species